rnacentral:tRNA from 1 species
AACUUUAGAGUGUUUAAAACAUAUUUAAUUUGCGUUUAAAAGAUAAAAUUUAUAAAAAUUUUUAAAGUUU